AUGGUUAGGAGUGUACCGAUUGGUGAGAAGCUCUUCAUAGGAGGAGACCUCAAUGGCCACGUGGGUACAUCUAACACAGGUUUUGAAAGGGCGCAUGGGGGCUUUGGCUAUGGCAUCAGGAAUCAAGAAGGAGAAGAUGUCUUAAGCUUUGCUCUAGCCUACAACAUGAUUGUAGCUAACACCCUCUUUAGAAAGAGAGAAUCACAUCUGGUGACUUUUAGUAGUGGCCAACACUCUAGCCAGAUUGAUUUCAUCCUCUCGAGAAGAGAAGAUAGGCGUGCGUGCCUAGACUGUAAGGUGAUACCUGGGGAGAGUGUUGUACCCCAACAUAAGCUGGUGGUUGCUGACUUCCGCUUUUGGAUUCGUGUCCAGCGGGAUAAGCGUGCCAAGGUCGCUAGAACGAAGUGGUGGAAGCUCAAGGGGGAGGUAGCUCAGGUGUUCAAGGAGAGGGUAUUUAAGGAGGGCCCUUGGGAGGAAGGAGGGGAUGCGGACAAUGUGUGGAUGAAGAUGGCGACUUGCAUUCGUAAGGUGGCCUCGGAGGAGUUUGGAGUGUUCAGGGGAAGGAGAAGCAAAGAUAAGGAUACCUGGUGGUGGAAUGAUGAUGUCCAGAAGGCGCUUAAAGAGAAGAAAGAUUGCUUCAGACGCCUAUACCUGGAUAGGAGUGCAGACAACAUAGAGAAGUACAAGAUGGCGAAGAAGGCCGCAAAGCGAGCUGUUGGUGAAGCAAGGGGUCGGGCAUAUGAGGACCUCUACCAAUGGUUAGGCACGAAGGAAGGUGAAAGGGACAUCUAUAAGAUGGCUAAGAUCUGGGAGAGGAAGACGAGGGAUAUUGGCCAAGUCAAAUGCAUCAAGGACGGAGCAGGCCAACUCUUGGUGAAGGACAAAGAGAUUAAGCAUAGAUGGCGGGAGUACUUCAACAAGCUGUUCAAUGGGGAGAAUGAGAGUUCUACCAUUGAAAUGAAUGACUCCUUUGAUGAGACCAGCAUGCGUUUUGUGCGGCGCAUCCAGGAGUCUGAGGUGAAGGAGGCUUUAAAAAGGAUGAAAGGAGGCAAGGCGAUGUGCCCUGAUUGUAUCCCCAUUGAGGUGUGGAAAGGUCUCGGGAACAUAGCGAUAGUAUGGCUAACCAAGCUUUUCAACCUCAUUUUUCGGGCAAACAAGAUGCCAGAAGAAUGGAGACGGAGUAUAUUAGUACCAAUCUUCAAGAACAAGGGGGAUGUUCAGAGUUGUACUAAUUACCGUGGAAUUAAGCUGAUGAGCCAUACAAUGAAGCUAUGGGAGAGAGUCAUUGAGCACCGCUUAAGAAGAAUGACAAGCGUGACCAAAAAUCAGUUUGGUUUCAUGCCUGGGAGAUCGACCAUGGAAGCCAUUUUCUUGGUACGACAACUUAUGGAGAGAUAUAGGGAGCAUAAGAAGGACUUGCAUAUGGUGUUCAUUGACUUGGAGAAGGCCUAUGAUAAGAUACCGCGGAAUGUCAUGUGGUGGGACUUGGAGAAACACAAAGUCCCAGCAAAGUACAUUACCCUCAUCAAGGACAUGUACAAUAAUGUUGUGACAAGUGUUCAAACAAGUGAUGUCGACACCGAUGACUUCCCGAUUAAGAUAGGACUGCAUCAGGGGUCAGCUUUGAGCCCUUAUCUUUUUGCAUUGGUGAUGGAUGAGGUCACAAGGGGUAUACAAGGAGAUAUCCCAUGGUGUAUGCUCUUCGCGGAUGAUGUGGUGCUAGUUGACGAUAGUCGGACGGGGGUAAAUAGGAAGUUAGAGUUAUGGAGACAAACCUUGGAAUCGAAAGGGUUUAGGCUUAGUAGAACUAAAACCGAGUACAUGAUGUGCGGUUUCAGUACUACUAGCUGUGAGGAGGAGGAGGUUAGCCUUGAUGGCCAGGUGGUACCUCGGAAGGACACCUUUCGGUAUUUGGGGUCAAUGUUGCAGGAGGAUGGGGGUAUUGAUGAAGAUGUGAACCAUCGAAUCAAAGCCAGAUGGAUGAAGUGGCGCCAAGCUUCUGGCAUUCUCUGUGACAAGAGAGUGCCACAAAAGCUAAAAGGCAAGUUCUACAGGACGGCGGUUCGACCCGCAAUGUUGUAUGGCGCGGAGUGUUGGCCGACUAAAAGGCGACAUGUUCAACAGUUAGGUGUGGCGGAGAUGCGUAUGUUGAGAUGGAUGUGUGGCCACACGAGGAAGGAUCGAAUCCGGAAUGAUGAUAUACGAGAUAGAGUUGGGGUAGCACCAAUUGAGGAGAAGCUUGUCCAACAUCGUUUGAGAUGGUUUGGGCAUAUUCAGCGUAGGCCUCCAGAAGCUCCAGUGCAUAGCGGACGGCUAAAGCGUGCGGAGAAUGUCAAGAGAGGGCGGGGUCGAUCGAUUUUGACAUGGGAGGAGUCCGUUAAGAGAGACCUGCAGGAUUGGAGUAUCGACAAAGAGCUAGCUAUGGACAGGGGUGCGUGGAAGCUUGCUAUCCAUGUGCCAGAGCCAUGA
rnacentral:rRNA from 1 species